GCUUUUUUAGUUUAUAGAAAAUAUCAUUUUGUGGUGAUGAAGAAGUAUUUACAAAAGGCA
rnacentral:tRNA from 1 species